CACACAAGGUGGAUGUGUCUCUGAGUAGAGGUGAGAGCUCCAGCUGGCAGCCUGUGGGGGCCGGUUGCGAAGGCCUCCCAUGCCCUGCAGGGACUUCAGGCUCUACUGAGGAGGCAGCAGAGAGCCAUCGCAGGCUUCCAGGGAGGUGAACCGUGUGCUCCAAGGUGACUCUGAAGGCAGGGUGGCGAACGGAUUGAGGGGAGAAGGGAGAAAAACUGGAAGCAGAGACCAGCUGGAAGGCCAUGCAGCUGGGCAGAUACCUAAGAACUGCUUCGCAGAGCCUCCCAUCAAGAGCCUCCAACUGAACAGGUCUGAGGUGGAGGCAGGAAUCUUCAUUCUAACAAGCACUCCAGGUGAUCUUCAGGCAAGUGGACCUCACACCUUGAGAACCACCUUUACUGAAGAUCUUCUUUUUUAUAAUUCUGCUAAGCCCAGGUCAUUGACAAAAGGUAAUGGGGCUGAGCGAAGUUCAUAAUGGAGUCUUCAUGGUAAAGUAUAUACGUGAGAACUUACGAGAAGCUUCCACCACUACACAAGAUUUUGUAACAAUACUUUUAUCAAAAAUCACAUAGCUACCACUAGUUGUCAAUUAUCAUUAAGAAGAUCUAAAUAUAGCAAAGUUUCAAAGUGAUAGGUAAAUUUUAAGACUAAAUGAUACACUGGAGUGAGCUCAAGUUACUGACUUUAGUUCCUUCUUAGGACGAUCCAGGCAUAUUUCAACCCAGUUCCAUUGUACGUGGGUGGCUUCAGCUGGUUCUGGACAAUGAUAACGCAGAGUAACUUUCUUUACCUCAAAUAAUGUCUUUCCUUAAUCUAUAGAAUACUGAACAUUCUUUAGCUUCAAGAUUAAAUCAUAUAUGAACGGUUUUCUUGAAUCUUGAGACACAAGUUUUCUAAGCAACAUUUAUAAUGAAGAUAACUGUUUUGCACCAAGUUCUCCAAAGAGACUUCCCUCCUAUUUUCUUCCUCAUUCAGAAAGUUCUGUGGUAUUAGUUCAUACGUUAUGUUUUAUAGAAUGGUGUUGAUGCAGGCUAAUGUCAACCCGUGGAAAGGACACCAAAGGGAAAACAUUCAAUGUUUAGGCGCUCGCCUG
rnacentral:lncRNA from 1 species